UACGUAGGGGGCUAGCGUUGUCCGGAAUCAUUGGGCGUAAAGAGCGCGUAGGCGGCCAGAUAAGUCCGGUGUGAAAGUCACAGGCUCAACCUGUGAAUGCCGCUGGAAACUGUCUGGCUAGAGUCCGGAAGGGGCGAGUGGAAUUCCUGGUGUAGCGGUGAAAUGCGCAGAGUAUCAGGAGGAACACCGCGGCGAAGGCGGCGCUCGUGGGCGAACGACGCUGAGGAGCGAAAGCGUGGGUAGCAAACAGG
rnacentral:rRNA from 1 species